GGGGGAGUAGCGCAAUUGGUUAGAGCGUUAGAUUGUGGAUCUAAUGGUUGCGGGUUCAAAUCCCGUCGUGCUCC
rfam:Candidatus Staskawiczbacteria bacterium RIFOXYA12_FTLL_37_10 rifixya3_full_scaffold_2226, whole genome shotgun sequence.